rnacentral:misc_RNA from 1 species
GAUUAAGAACGCAGCGAAAUGCGAUAAGUAGUGUGAAUUGCAGAAUUCCGUGAAUCAUCGAAUCUUUGAACGCACAUUGCGCCUUCUGGUAUUCCGGAAGGCAUGCCUGUUCGAGAGUCAUUAACAACCGUUUCGAUCCCUUUCUUUCAGAAAUUACAAAGAGGAAAAGGGUUUGGUUAUGGUGGAGGAGGGAAAGGGAGCGUUUAGCCUGUAAAAAAAGAGGCUGUGUUCCGCCUCCCCCCCAAAAUUGUACAGGCGGUCGUGUGCGCCCACGCAUCGAGGUGUUGUAAAAGCUGCCACGGCACUUUUCACCUGUGCAGUGCGAGAUUGGCCAGCCGGUUUAAAAACCCCUCCAAACAAUCAAAGGUUGACCUCGGAUCAGGUAGGGAUACCCGCUGAACUUAAGCAUAUCAAUAAGCGAGGA